UACGAAGGGGGCUAGCGUUGCUCGGAAUCACUGGGCGUAAAGGGUGCGUAGGCGGGUCUUUAAGUCAGGGGUGAAAUCCUGGAGCUCAACUCCAGAACUGCCUUUGAUACUGAAGAUCUUGAGUUCGGGAGAGGUGAGUGGAACUGCGAGUGUAGAGGUGAAAUUCGUAGAUAUUCGCAAGAACACCAGUGGCGAAGGCGACUCACUGGCCCAUAACUGACGCUGAGGCACGAAAGCGUGGGGAGCAAACAGG
rnacentral:rRNA from 1 species